rnacentral:lncRNA from 1 species
CGUUCAAGGUAUUCCUUGAUUGAUUGUAGGCUGUGUUGGUUGGUUCCUUGAGAGUGUGGUUGGGCGAAUCCUCGAUUCAGGUUGCCGGUUAAAGACGGUGGUUGGCUUCGAGUUUUAUUUGCCAGGUUGCACUAGUUAUCGCUGCUUGCAGCAAGUUAUCCGGCUGUUCUUCAGCUAGUUAUCGGUGUUCUUCCUACGUCGUGAAGAUCGGGAC